AGGACAGGUCCAGUUAACACGGGUCUAUAAUGACUACAGGCCGAUCCAGGACAGGUCCAGUUAACACGGGUCUAUAAUGACUACAGGCCGAUCCAGGACAGGUCCAGUUAACACGGGUCUAUAAUGACUACAGGCCGAUCCAGGACAGGUCCAGUUAACACGGGUCUAUAAUGACUACAGGCCGAUCCAGGACAGGUCCAGUUAACACGGGUCUAUAAUGACUACAGGCCGAUCCAGGACAGGUCCAGUUAACACGGGUCUAUAAUGACUACAGGCCGAUCCAGGACAGGUCCAGUUAACACGGGUCUAUAAUGACUACAGGCCGAUCCAGGACAGGUCCAGUUAACACGGGUCUAUAAUGACUACAGGCCGAUCCAGGACAGGUCCAGUUAACACGGGUCUAUAAUGACUACAGGCCGAUCCAGGACAGGUCCAGUUAACACGGGUCUAUAAUGACUACAGGCCGAUCCAGGACAGGUCCAGUUAACACGGGUCUAUAAUGACUACAGGCCGAUCCAGGACAGGUUCAGUUAACACGGGUCUAUAAUGACUACAGAACGAUCCAGGACAGGUCCAGUUAACACGGGUCU